CACCAUUUAAGAUACAGUCUUUUCAAAUUUAGAAACCUCAAUGAUUGCUAUACUAAUAAUUGCUCGAGCAUGUGAUGGGCACUCAGCAAUUUUUGAACUGUUUAGUACAAAACUUAUUCUGGCAAUCCAUAUCCUUUAGUUUCAAGGAAUAUCUAUAACAUUCUUGAUCCUUAAACUGGGAGAAAGAAGAGUUUAUGUCCACUUAUCCAUGAAUAAUAUUUUUAUUUUUCAUUUAGGUUUUCAGUCUUCUGGAAAGUCCAUUUCUCCAAAAAUACGUUUUACAUAGAUAUUUUCGUUGAUUUUACAAUUCCUAAUAGGCUCUGAACUUCCAGAGGCCAAACUCUUUCUCAUACUCCUCUUGUGUCUCCAAUUCUUGGGCAUAUGGAUGACACUUAACAAAUCUGGGGUGGGAAAGUAUUAUAAGUAAUAAUGGAUGCCUCACCUCUUUCCCCCACCAGUUAUUACCUGUGACUGCUACUCUAUCUUUCUUUGGAUGGCUGAGCAGUCUGUCUUGAUUUGUUUUUUGAAGGAAUGAUGAAGCAGGCUGUGAAGACAAAGGAAAAAGCCUUGUGUUUUGAGAUUCAAUAUCACAAGCCCAGAUGCAGAAGACAAAGAUCUGGAAGAAUAUAAAGGGCCAGAAUUUGAGGCACAGCAGUACUCCAGGUCAGACAAUGCCAAAUUGCUCUGCUUUUGUUUAAACUGGAGCAGACUCCAACAGCUUGACCUUGCCUCAGAAGAAAAGGCCUGGCAUGAAAGAAUAGAAAUUUAAUAUAAGACCUAAUAUUUACAGCGAGUUUACUACAAUGCUCAAGGGGAUUGCAGAAAGACAGAAUUGAGGAAAACAUGCUUUCUUUCAAAAGUAUGUAUUCUCCUUGUUACCAAAGGUCUAAAUUCAAUAGUUGACAACAAUGAGGUAUCUCCAAUGAAAAAACAAAUAUGUAUGUAUAAAUAUUUCUGUAAAAUAGGAUGAAUUACAUAUUGACACUAUAAUAUCUCCCAUGGAUAUGGGGCAACAUGGAUGUUGACCCUGUUCUUCAAGCAGAUUCCUAACAGAGUUGUUUUCUUUUCCUCACACAGAGAAACUAUGGUAGAGUCGACUGGUUAUGAGCACAGGUGAACUACGUUUGAUACCAUCUCACAGAAGGGUUGUGAAAAUUAAAUGACAUAGUAAGUUCGUUUUCUUUAAAAAGUUUUUUUUUUUUUUGAUGUGGUCCAUGUUUAAGACCUUAAUUGAUUUUGUCACAAUAUUGCUUCCGUUUUAUAUUUUGGUUUUUAGUCUGGAAGGCAUGUGGAGUCCUCCCUGACCGAGGAUCGAAUCCACACCCCCUGCAUUGGAAGGCAAAGUCUUAACCACUGGGCCACCAGGGAAAUCUCAG
rnacentral:lncRNA from 1 species